GGCAAACCACACUUUUGGAUUACAUCAGGAAAAGCAAGGUGGCAGCAUCUGAAGCAGGUGGAAUUACUCAAGGCAUGGGGGCAUACAAGGUACAAGUACCUUUUGAUGGCAAGCCACAGACUUGUGUUUUCCUUGACACCCCUGGACAUGAGGCAUUUGGAGCGAUGAGAGCUCGUGGAGCCAGAGUAAUAGACAUUGUUGUUAUUGUAGUUGCU